rnacentral:misc_RNA from 1 species
AUGAGCUUUAGCUCAGUGGUACUGUAGUCGUCUCCAGGCUGUGAGGUCUCACUUGCUGUUACUAAGUAUUACAGAUUGUUCAUUUAUGUGCAAGCCUUUUCAUUGUUCACAAUGUGCCUGUCAGUAGUCCUUUGAAACAAGAGCUAUGUUAAAUUUCUUUGCAAUAAAUAAAUCUGCUGUCCUCAUCUAUAAUUCAAAAUUUGUCAAACUAGUGCUGCUUGAAUCACACCAUACAGAAGUGCAAAGAGGUGUUUCAG